rnacentral:sRNA from 1 species
AUGAACGCAACCGACUUCCAGCACGACUCCAGCGCCGCCCGCCAGGCCAGCAGCAUGACCUCGCGUGCCCGCCGACCGGAAUCCCACAUUUCCGCUGGGUGACCGGAGCUUCGUGCUGUCU